rnacentral:rRNA from 1 species
CCCUUCGGGGUACUCGAGCGGCGAACGGGUGAGUAACACGUGAGUAACCUGCCCUAGGCUUUGGGAUAACCCUCGGAAACGGGGGCUAAUACCGGAUAUUCAUGUCUGACGGCGUCGUUGGGUGUGGAAAGUUUUUCGGCUUGGGAUGGGCUCGCGGCCUAUCAGCUUGUUGGUGGGGUGAUGGCCUACCAAGGCGACGACGGGUAGCCGGCCUGAGAGGGCGACCGGCCACACUGGGACUGAGACACGGCCCAGACUCCUACGGGAGGCAGCAGUGGGGAAUAUUGCACAAUGGGCGGAAGCCUGAUGCAGCGACGCCGCGUGAGGGAUGAAGGCCUUCGGG